GCGAAGCAACCUUGCAGCAGUCGUCCCGCGCGCCGAUCUGCCGUCUCCAUCGCUGGUUCUGUCUUCGUCGAAGCCCGAGCCGCCGUGUGAACCAGUAACCGCCACGUUCGCCGCUCACAACCGCCGGUCGUCGAUCCACAUUCUGUUUUCCUCUUCAUUCAAUUUCCCCUGAAAAAACCCUCACCCAUCGGAUUUCAAGACAAUCGAAGCAACCUCAAGAGGGAAAUCAAGACAAUCAAGCCGUCCCGAUGGGUGGUGCCUGUUUUUGAUUGGUUGCAACGCGAAGGGGCUUUGGCUUUGGGCCCUGAAGGCCC
rnacentral:lncRNA from 1 species